CUCAUUGAGAAGGCAUGUGCGGA
rnacentral:piRNA from 1 species